CGAGUUUACAACUCCCAACCCUUUGUGAACCUUACCUAUCGUUGCUUCGGCGGACCGCCCCGGGUGCUGCGUGCCCCGGACUCAGGCGCCCGCCGGGGACCAACCAAACCCUGUUUUUUAAACAUGUGUAUCAUCUGAGCGAGCCGAAAGGAACAAACAAUCA
rnacentral:misc_RNA from 1 species